GAGGGUAUAGCUCAGUGGUAGAGCGCUUGCUUAUUAGCAUGCAUGAGGUCCUGGGUUCAAUCCCCAGCACCUCCA
rnacentral:tRNA from 1 species